rnacentral:tRNA from 1 species
UUGCCCGUAGUCUAGCGGCAUGACAUCGCCCUGACGAGCCCGAAUCGUGGGUUCAAAUCCCACCGGGCCCA